UAUAUCUUAGUGUAUGGUGCACGGUGGCUUUUGAUGCUGGUGGUGACAGUUUAAUUCUGUUGGAUAUAA
rnacentral:tRNA from 1 species